GGAACUCGGAGUCUAGUUGAUGGAAUGAGAUGAAUGCAAAUAAUCAUAAGCCCUUCUGUCUCCAUGACUGGAUUUAUGAAAGAAUAAUAUAAUUCA